GAUGAACGCUGGCGGCGUGCCUAAUACAUGCAAGUCGAGCGAACAUAUCAUCACGUUUCUCCGCUCACGAUAGCAACGAACGGUUGAGGAACACUUAGAUAACCGACCUAUAACACUCGGAUAGCGGCGGGAAACCCUUGCUAAUACCUGAUAAUAUAGCAAACCACAUUAUGCAGCAUUGCAUGACAGUUUUAGUGUCACUCAGAUGUCGCUCCGCGCUGCAUUAGCUAGUUGGUAAGGUAACGGCGUACCAAGGCAACGAUGCGUAGCCGACCUGAGAGGGUGAUCGGCCACACUGGAACUGAGACACGGCCCAGACUCCUACGGGAGGCAGCAGUAGGGAAUCUUCCGCAAUGGGCGAAAGCCUGACGGAGCAACGCCGCGUGAGUGAUGAAGGUCUUCGGAUCGUAAAACUCUGUUAUUAGGGAAGAACAAGUGUGUAAGUAACUAUGCACGUCUUGACGGUACCUAACCAGAAAGCCACGGCUAACUACGUG
rnacentral:rRNA from 1 species